ACUCAAAGGAAUUGACGGGGGCCCGCACAAGCAGCGGAGCGUGUGGUUUAAUUCGAGGCUACACGAAGAACCUUACCUGGGUUUGACAUGCAGGUGGUAGGCAUCGGAAAGGGUGCUGACCUUCGGGAGCCUGCACAGGUGCUGCAUGGCUGUCGUCAGCUCGUGUCGUGAGAUGUUCGGUUAAGUCCGGUAACGAGCGCAACCCUCGGGGCUAGUUACAGGUGUCUAGCCCGACUGCCCGGUGGAACUGGGAGGAAGGUGGGGAUGACGUCAAGUCAGCAUGGCCUUGAUAUCCAGGGCGACACACACGCUACAAUGGUCGAGACAAUGGGGUGCCAAGGGGUGACCUGGAGCCAAUCCUGCAAAAACGACCUCAGUUCGGAUUGCAGGCUGCAACUCGCCUGCAUGAAGUCGGAGUUGCUAGUAAACGCCGGUCAGCCAUACGGCGUUGAAUACGUUCCCGGGCCUUGUACACACCGCCCGU
rnacentral:rRNA from 1 species